GAUGAACGCUGGCGGCGUGCCUAAUACAUGCAAGUCGAGCGAACAGACGAGGAGCUUGCUCCUCUGACGUUAGCGGCGGACGGGUGAGUAACACGUGGAUAACCUACCUAUAAGACUGGGAUAACUUCGGGAAACCGGAGCUAAUACCGGAUAAUAUAUUGAACCGCAUGGUUCAAUAGUGAAAGACGGUUUUGCUGUCACUUAUAGAUGGAUCCGCGCCGCAUUAGCUAGUUGGUAAGGUAACGGCUUACCACGGCGACGAUGCGUAGCCGACCUGAGAGGGUGAUCUGCCACACUGGAACUGAGACACGGCCCAGACUCCUACGGGAGGCAGCAAUAGGGAAUCUUGCGCAAUGGGCGAAAGCCUGACGAAGCAACGCCGCGUGAGUGAUGAAGGUCUUCAGAUCGUAAAACUCUGUUAUUAGGGAAGAACAAAUGUGUAAGUAACUAUGCACGUCUUGACGGUACCUAAUCAGAAAGCCACGGCUAACUACGUG
rnacentral:rRNA from 1 species